CUGUUUUUUUGUAGAGAUGGGUCUGGCUCUGUGGCCCAGGCUGGUUUUCCCUUUUUGAGGGAAGAAAAGAAGUUGUCUGUGGGACAUGAGUGCUGUGUGUACUAUUUUUUCCUUGUUAAAUGAGACCUGAGAAAACGUGAACCUGGAAUGUCCCAGGUGGGAGGGCAAACCCCAGUCCACCCUGGGCCCAGGGCCCUGGGCUGCUCACCGGCCCGCCACGUCCUCCGUGGGCCUGGAGCCUCUCCAGGGGUAUUGCCUCUAGGGCCUGCAGUGUGUCCUUGUGAACAUCCUCAGCUGGGCAUAACUUAGUCUCCUGAGGGUGAAGUUGAUCUUGAGAACAGCCCAGGGCUGCCCUGAGAGCGGUCACCGAGCAGCCCUGAGGUGCAGUGGGUACCGGUGCUGCCUCUAGGCCUCUACUUCUGGGGACCCCAUGGCUCCAGCUCCUCGGCAGGCCCCCCAGUCCUCGCCCCCAUGGCCAUGUCCAUUUGCUCGUGUUGCAGGGAGUGAGACCUGACUGGAGCUGGGGGGCGCUGGCUCUCCCACUGUCCGCGAAGCUGGGUGACAUCAGGUGUGUUGUUUUACUACUAUGCCUCAGUUCCUCAUCUGGGAAAAUAGAGAAUAAUGGCAGCUGCCGCUUAGGUUGUUAGGAUGAUAAAGUGAGAUAAUCUGUGUGAAGUCUUUCUAACGCAGUGCCUGGCUUGGCAGAAACAAUAUUAUUUCUGACAGCCUGGCUUCCUGUCACCAUCGUCUCUGCGUGGCGAUGGCCACAGCAGCGCUGAUGGGCCAGAGUCAAACUCCUUCCAUCUCCUGCCCGUGGGGGCGAGAAUCCCAGCCCGGGGCCUAGGGGCCUGGGUCACUCCGUGCACUCCCGGGGACCCUGCAAAGGGCUUGCAAAAUCAUUCUAUCUUGGGUGUGUACGUUUCUGGGGAGAGGGUCCACAUCUUUCACUGCGUGCCCCAAGGGCCUCUCACCCAAAAAGGCUCACAGCCUGUACGGUGACAUUUCUCCUGACACGGCCCCAGGAGGGCCCAUGUGGUGCACAGGAGAACCUUAGACUGGACCUCAGGCAGCAGCUCUGCUGCUGAUGACCUGGGGCCUGGGCAAGUGAUAUUAGCCCCUCUCUGGGGCUCAUUUCCUGUCCACAGAAUGCAGGUGCUAAUAUCUGAGGGGCAGCGAGCUGCUCUCGGAAAGCCCUUCACACUCGGGGCCCCUCUCGGCUCUGCCCCCAUCUUGUGCUCCUCCUCUUGCCACUGAGUAGGGACGUUUCUUCCCUAGGGCUGACCUCAGCCUGGUCUCCUUUUCUUCCUCAGGUGUGGUUUAAGGGCAGAGUUUGGAUCGGAAGACCCACGUCUGAAUCGUAGGUGAAGACUAUGGGGAAGGAUCAGGGACCAAGGCCAUGGAGAGGGCUGUGGUUCUGAGGGCUGCAGGAGGGCACGGGAGCGGCUGGGGGAGGAGUGGAGGGAGGGAGGCUAUCUGCAGCCCCCACCCCACUCAGCCCCGCAGAGCGCAGAGCAGCAGGGUAUACUCCCAGGCAUGACACCAGGCGAGGGGGCACUGCCCUCAUCCUCCUGGAUACCCGAGUCUCUUAUCCUUUAGUGGUUUAAAUUCUCUCUCCCCACUGGGGCAGAAAUCUCAGUGCUACUAUUUCUUCAAACCAUUUAUAGCGCCAGUUUUCGAAGCACACUCACCUGUUGUCUUACUUAUCCUUAAUGGGGGUUCUGCCCCCGCCCCCCCCCCCCCCCCCGCCCACAGAGGGUCAGGAAUGUUUGGGAUGUGCAGCCAAGCCACGUUCUUCCCCAGGUGUGCAAGAGCUCCCCGUGCACGGCCUUAGAAUGCCUUAUUAGGAAAAGUUGGGGUGGGAAGUGUCAGGCCUCUGAGCCCAAGCCAAGCCAUCGCAUCCUCUGUGACUUGGACGUAUACGCCCAGGUGGCCUGAAGUAACUGAAGAAUCACAAAAGAAGUGAAAAUGCCCUGCCCAGCCUUAACUGAUGACAUUAUCUUGUGAAAGUCCUUUUCCUGGUUCAUCCUGGCUCAAAAAGCUCCCCCACUGAGCACCUUGCAACCCCCACUCCAGCCCGCCAGAGAACAAUCCCCUUUGACUGUAAUUUUCCUUUACCUACCUAAAUCCUAUAAAACGGCCCCACCCUUAUCUCCCUUAUCUCCCUUCGCUGACUCAGCCCGCCUGCACCCAGGUGAUUAAAAGCUUUAUUGCUCACACAAAGCCUGUUUAGUGGGCUCUUCACACGGACGCGCAUGCAAGGAAGGAGGUUUUUCAUCAGUGGACCAGCUUACUUAGAUUUUCACCAAAUCAUCCGAUUCAUCUGCAGAAUUUGCUUUGGGAACUGCCUAGGAGUUUGUUUUCAAUUGGUCCACACGUGCUUGGCAAACACCCUGAGUGUUGCAGACUGUGGGUUUAGUCUUCCACUGGAGUAUUCUCAAAUUGCCUUUGCAGUUUUAGAAUAAGACCUCUUAUAAUAAGCUUCCCACUGUCAAUGUUUUCAGACACUUUAAAAAAUGCCUCUUGCUGCAGGGCUUCUUCUUGAUAUAUGCCAGUCACACUCCCCCAAACUCCUCUCCAAGUAGAGAACUAAAGCUCUAUCAAAUAUUUCAUCCCAACUUAAUUUUCUAGGGUAUUUGUUGUUGUUGUUGUUGUUGUUGUUGUUUAUUUUGGCAGUUAGGCUUGUUCCUGAAGUUUAAAUGGCACGGUUUAAAUCAUGUUCUGUGCAUACAGGGAGGCCAUGUGUUCCCUGGGGCCCAGGACACCCAGCCUGGGUGCUACGUAAUGCGGCCUUCCUGUCUUAUGGGGCAUUGCUAACAGGUGGCCCAUCCCAAAUGCCUGCAGAUUUUCAGAGGGGCGCUGAACUCCCCAGAGAGGAAGGAUAGUGCGGAGAUUUCCAUUGUCUUGCUUUGGUUUAGAAAGCCCCAGGGUAGGGGUGAGUCCUGGUCCCGCCCCAGCCCUCGUGAAGACCCACCUGCCUCAGAGAAUGGCUGAGCUCCAGAGACACCUGAGUCAGUGCCCAGCCUGGCAGGAUCUUCUGCAACUACGUGCACCGGCACCUGUGCUGCAGGCCUCCCGCUCCCAGCCACGGACCAGCACCUGGGCUCAGGCCUUUAAGACCAGGAGUUGGCUGUGGAGGCUGAGGAGAGGCGAGACUUUGGCGUGCGGCUUGCGUGACUGCAACUAGACAAGGCAUGACUACUUGGACAUGUCAACCAAUCCUUAAGGAUGCAAUGAAACAAAGCAAAUCCAGUGGCUCAUUAAGACAGUACAAGAGACAAAUGCGACAAAACGUCAACUGGUGAACAUUCACAGGAUUACUAAACACUGCAGAAAUUCUCUAACAGGAUUUUUUUAACCAAGUUUGUGUAAUACAAUUUCAUGAAUUAUGCAAAUAAAGGUUUAGGCUAUUCACAGAAAAGCCCAGUGUUAUGUUACUUUCAUUGCAUAGAACUGAGAACUGAACACAUCAAUCACAAAAGUCACAGGAGACACUGCUGCAUUCCUGCUUGCUGAUGGCUCUGUUGAAACAUUUCCAUUUCAGACAAUAAAAAAAAAAAAAAAAAAAAAAAAAGGACAUUGCUAUUUUGCAGCACAGCAUACUAUUUACUUCCAACUGUGAUUCUUUUUUAUUGUAAAUUGACAGUUUGUAAUUAUAUAAAUUUGGAGUACAAAUUGAUGUUAUGAUAUAUGAAUGUAAUGUGGAAUAAUAAAAUCAAGCUAGUUAACAUAA